rnacentral:rRNA from 1 species
GGCUGUCGUCAGCUCGUGUCGUGAGAUGUUGGGUUAAGUCCCGUAACGAGCGCAACCCUUGUCCUUAGUUACCAGCACGUUAUGGUGGGCACUCUAAGGAGACUGCCGGUGACAAACCGGAGGAAGGUGGGGAUGACGUCAAGUCAUCAUGGCCCUUACGGCCUGGGCUACACACGUGCUACAAUGGUCGGUACAAAGGGUUGCCAAGCCGCGAGGUGGAGCUAAUCCCAUAAAACCGAUCGUAGUCCGGAUCGCAGUCUGCAACUCGACUGCGUGAAGUCGGAAUCGCUAGUAAUCGUGAAUCAGAAUGUCACGGUGAAUACGUUCCCGGGCCUU